CGCUCUGGUGGACUAGUAGUUAGAGCUUCCGCCUUGGAUGCGGGAGGUCAUGUGUUCAAUCCCCAGUUGAGUCA